UGGUAUAAUGGUGAACUAGGUUUAUGGUUUAACAAGUUCAAUCCAUAUUUUGAUAUUUGUGAAAAAAUCACAAAUUGAUUCAUGAUAUCCUUCCGAGAUUCACAUCAUAUGCUUUUCAAUAACAUCUACAUGAACUAUGAAUAAUGGCUCACCUCAGCUAACUUUCAAAAUUGUACUAAAUAGCCACUGAGAUACACGCAUUAACCCUAGUCAUUCCAUCGAGCUCUCCUCAAUUCUCGAUCCAUAAUUGUAGCUCUAGAGACACUCAACUUAUUAUCACCUUACCUUCAACUUGUAUUGUUAGAUCGAAUGCCUCUAGCACCAAUCACCAUUAUGAUUGCCUUAUAAAAUUGCAACCACUAUUACUGACAGCAAUUAUCAGCAUUGUGAUAGGAAAUAACAGAAAAUACCGAACCUUACUGCAGAAAUCAGCAAAACCAACAAGUUUCAAAACCGUUUUUGAGAGAAAAUCAAAGAAAUAUCGGAGAGAAAACUUUCAUUAAUAGUAGAGGAAAGGAAACAACAAGAUACAAUUGGAUCUUCAAUUGGAGAGGAAGAUCAUGCUCUCCCAAUCUCUAGUUGGAGACUGCACAGGCAAAACUACAAGAACACAAAAUUCUACAAAAUACAUCAUAACCCUAAUCCUAGAACAGAAAAUACUACUUAAAGCAAACGAAAAUAACAAUUCCCUAAACAGCCCCUAGAAUUUGAAUUUUCCCUCUCAAAUCCUUCUCAAUUAAAAGCCAUAAUAUCACCAUUAAGAGGGCUGCCCCACCCCCCACCCACAGGCAGGUCUAUUCCGCCUGGAAUAGACCCGAACCGGUCCAAGAAGGACCAGUUCAGCCGACUCCCAAGAGCCGGUCUAACAAUACCCCCAUCCCAAAGGCUCACCUUAUCCUCAAGGUGAAAUGAUGGGAAUUGGGUCUUCAAUCUCUCGUAUGGAUACCAAGUGUGGUCAUAACCUAGGAGGUACAUCCAUUUAAUUAGCACUUACUUAUACUUGCUCUCUCCUUGUCGCACCCCCUUAAGCUCCAAGGGCUCCAACACAACCUCCAAAUCCUUAGUCAGUGUCGUCGGUAAUGCCACACUAGCUACAUGCUCCCCUAUAGCUCUCCUCAACUGGGAUACAUGAAACACUGGAUGUAUGCUAGCAAUUGGGGGUAACCUCAAGCGAUAAGCCACCGCUCCGAUCUUUUCCACUAUCUCAUACGGGCCAAAAUACUUGGGAGCUAGUUUCUCGUUCCUCCUGCUAGCUAUUGUCCUUUGUUUAUAAGGUUGUAGUUUUAAAAACAUAUUGUCCCUCACUUGGAACUAAAUGUCAUUCGUGUGUCCAUCAACCUGCUUCUUCAUGAUAUGUUGUGGUGUUUCUUCAAUUCUUCUAGCACCAUAUCCCUUUCUUCCAAAUAUUGCUCUACUGAGGAGGUUGAUGUGCUCCCUUGCCCAAAAUGGACUAAGUGUGGGGGGUCUCUUUCGUAAAACACUUUGAAAGGGGUCAACUAAGAAGCUGAGUGGUACGAUGUAUUGUACCAAUAUUCGAUCGAGGCUAACCACUUGGCCCACAAAUGAGGUGUUUAUGACACGAAACACCGUAAGUCUUCAAGCUUCUGUUGACUACCUUCGUCUACCCGUCCAUCUCAGGGUGGUAGACGGUGCUUCUCUUGAGAACUGUACAUUGCAACCUGAACAACUCCCUCCAAAAUUGAUUGAGAAACACCUUAUCUCAGUCAGAGACCGACUCUGAAAUCACAAGCAAUCUAAUCACCUCUCUGAUGAAUGUUGUAGCCACUGUAACAGCGGUGUAGGGGUGUCAUAAGAGAAUGAAAUGCGUAUAUUUACUCAGCCUGUCAACCACCACCAUAAUCAAUGUGAACUGUGAAGCCCUCGGAUUGUGGUUGACCAUUUAUGAAAUCCAUGGACAAAUCCUCCCAUACCCUAUCUGAAAGUACUAAGGGUUGAAAUAACCCUCCUAGACCCAUAGCCAUAUACUUAUUUCUCUGGCACACUUCACACCUCGCCACCAUCUCCUCCGCAUACUUACGCAUCCCUUUCCAGUACAAUUCAAUUGUCAAUCUUCUAUAUGUCUUAUGCGCCCUCGAAUGGCUUCCAACCACGCUCCCAUGGAACUCCUGCAACAGGCGGGGAAUAUGAAUAGAGGUUCAUGGCAUCAAAAAUCUCCCUUGGUACAUUAGCCUCUUUUCCUCGAGGGAGUAGCCCGGGUGGUUGUUCCUAUCCUUUAAUAAAUCCCAAGGUUUUCAAAACCGGACCGGACCGGCCGGUUCGACCGCGAACCAGUCUGGCGGGCGGUCCAGUUUGAUGCUGCCAUGCUGGAAUCGGCUGUCUUUGAAAUCGGCUUAAAACUAGUACAAACCUCGGUUGAACUGGAAAACCGCUGAACCGGGUGACUUUUGAAGAACCGAACGGUUCUAAAAUUUGCAAAUCUCAGCCGUCCAUCCACGAUCGAACGCGCGCGUGGGGAAGUUUUGAUCGCUAUUCUUGCUGCCCUAUUCGUAAGCUGCGAGUAUUUCAUUAUUUCGAGUCUUCUAUAGUUCUACGCCUCAAGCCAUGCGCGACUCCUCCAUCCACAAGCGGACGCCGAAGGACUCCUCCGACCAUCUCUGUUCAUCCCAGCUGUUGGCGCACUCCUCCGACCUCACAGCCGCCGGCACACGACUUACCAUGAGAUAUAACUUUGUAUUUUAGUAUGUUUAAUUUUCAACCAUGCACAUUUACUUUAUGGCACAAGGUUCUUUACGUUUUUAUGCUUGUUUGAUCAUGAUACAUAAUUUUUGUGAGCAUCAAAAAGCUCUUAUUUGCAGUAUUUAGGAUCUUUAUCAAAAAGUUCAUGAGGAUUGCUGCUCAAUAAAAUCCAAGUUACUAUAAAAUGGAAUCCUUUAUUUUUAUAGCAGGAUGCCAGGAUGAAUAUUAUAUUAUCUUAAGUUUCUAAACAAGAAGAGCGUUCUAGUAAACAUGCUGAAAAUAUUAAUGUGUUAUUUUGUUGUAGGUCAAAAGUCACACAAAACUUUGCUUCUAUUCUAAAUUUGAAGCAGUGCAUCUUCAUUAAAUUUUUGUGUAAUUCGGGUUGUGACAUAUAAAUUAAUGUUUUCUUGUAUCAUACUAACUAUAAUACCCAAAAAUGUUCAAUUAUGUAAGUAAAAAUUCCCUCUAGCACUUAAUUUGACUUUUAAUUUGGAGUCUUAUUGAGUAUUAUAAAAAAAAAAUUAUUAUAGGAUAAUAAUAUGCCUGUAGAAAUCAUUAAGUAUAAGUCAUUAUUGCAUUUUGCUGUAGAUAUUCCACUUAGCUUGUAGAUAUUCCACUUAGCCACCCAUGCAAGCGUUGGAUGGAAAUUAGGUGGCUGAAAUGAUAAUGGAAGUUUAGUGGAAUGUUAGUGGAUAAUGCACUACCUUUAUAAUGAUAUUUUAUUACAUUUUAAAACACUAGGAUAAUAUCUUUUCCUUUCAUUCCUACCACUGUCGGAUAAACAGCAGUUAAGCAAAUUGGAUGAGGUAUAGGGUUCGGCUGCUGGAAGGCUAAGAAGCUCUGAUUGCUUAGGUUGGGAGGAUCCGACUGUUAACUGUUGACUGCUGCUGGCUGCUGGAAGCUGAAACCAUUUGUUGAAUCAGAUUUUCUUAGGAGAAACAGGGAAGGAGGGAGAAGCUAGAAGGACUCGUUGGUGGUGAGAGAGCAGGGACCUGAAGGUGGCGGACUGUAGUGUGGGGGGUAAACUGCAGUUCAAGUGCUGAUUUGCACAAGGAAAGAUUUUGGUGAAUGAAGAAACAUACAUUUGAGACUGUUUACAAAAGGAAAGAAAGGCAGAAUAUUAUAGGAGAACCAAUUGACGAUGAGGAAAGGAGAAAGAGCCCUUGGGACAAUAAAAAGAGGUGACCGUUCUUUUGAUGUAAGUACGUUUUGGGGUGCAAGAGAUCUAAAGCGAGAUCUGAAUGCUAGAUGUAAAGAUUUUUGGGUAUGUGAAUGAAUUUAAAAGUUUUAGUAGAGCUCUGUAUUUGUUUUAAUUAUGUUGAGGUUCAAUAAGAUAUAUUACAUGCUUCCUGUUGUUAAGUGUGGAGUUUGAUACGUUGAAAUCUUUCUCUGUUAUACUCCAGUUCGUGGUAGAGGGUGAGUCAAACUGGGGUGUGACACUAACUUUGGCCAUUCUUAAACAUUAGUUUUUAAUGUUUUUGUGCUUGUCAUAUCAGUGUCAGAUUGUAGUUUUAUUCAAGGUUUUGAAUCCUUGUUUGCAUAUCUUUAAAGAUUAAUUAAAGAUUUUUUAUUUGUAUUUAAAGAUAUGCUUAUAUUCCUAUAAAUCCAUGUUCGUAUUUAAUUUUUUGUUGAAUGCAGUGUCUUUCAUUAAAACAAAUUAUAUAUGGCAGACGAAUUUUGGAAUGCUUCUGGCAAAACCAAGUAACACUACAAUUACUCUAACGAUGGCAAAGGAAAUGCAACCUGGUACUUAUCUUUUCAUUGUCAGUGUUUAUACAUUUUUGUAACAUAUAUGCUUAUUUGCUAAGUUUUCUAAUAUCAAAUUAUAUAGAUGAAUGGUGGAAGAUGUUUGAAUCAAAUGCUUCAAACUUGUAGAAAGUAUCUAUAAGAAUUCUAAGCCAAACAUCAUUAUCAAUUUGCGAAUGAAAUUUGAGUGUUUUUGAACAAAUUCACUCAAAAAGAUGCAAUCAUUUGGAGCAUCAACGCUUGAACGACCUUGUUUAUGUUCAGAAUAAUCUAAAUUUAAAAAAUAGGUAUAAUUUUUUUAUAACAUAAUUUGUGUGUCAAUAUAUAAUAUUGUAUAUAUGUACAAAUGUCACUAAAAUUAUUGUUUCAUUCUUAAGUUUCAACUAAAAAAAGAAGUUAUGAUCCUCUUGACUAUACCUGCGUUGAAAUGGUAGAUUUUUGGGUGCUUGAUGAAAAAUCACCUGCAGAUAUCGACUUAGAGGAGUUGGAAACUGAGAUAUACGAAGAGGCUGCAAUACCUGUUGUUGAAGAAGCAAAUAUAGCAUACAGUCAGCUUACACUUGGUAAGCUAGUGAAAUAUGAACACAUCAUUUAAAUAAAUUAGAACAUUAUAAUCUUAUUUAAUUUUUUUUAAUUUGUUGGUGAAUGUGAAUUAGAGAAUGAAUGAGAUGGAUAUAACAUAAUUGGCUUCAAUGAUUUAGGUGCAUUUGUGGCUGCAGAUUUUGGUGAAAUGGGACAUGGAAACUCAACUUAUGAGCAUAUCUUUCACGAAGAAAAUUAGGACAUAUCUGAUUUUCCUUUUGUAGAAUUAUUAAAAUUAUUGAAAUAAGAAAGUGAAACAUUAGUAACUCUAUAUAUGUGUUAUGAAUGUGUUUUGUUUUUUUUAUCAGUUAGUAUAAAGUGUCAUAAUUUUACUAUAAUAUUUUGCUUAUUUAUUUCAUAUUAUGUACACAUUUUUCAGAUAUUUUAGCUUCACUAAUUGGAGAUAGAAAUUAUAUGAUCUCAAAAAUUUCUUUUAUACAUUUUAGAGAAAGAGAACUGAAGAUGAUCUGCAUUCCUCAACACCCAAAACUUAAUAGAGCUCGACAAAAGGUACGCAUUCCUAAAAAAUUUCUUGUUUGGUUAAUUAUUUACUUAUUUAUGAAAUAUUUGCUUAUAUUUUAUUAUUUUAUUGAUUUAUUUGAUGCCACAUUUAUAUUGUGUUAUUUUUUAUGUUUUAUAAAUUUAAUUGAUGCAAUAUUUAUGUUAUUUGAUUAGUUUAAUAUGAAAAUGGAAUGUAGAGUGAAGUUAUUAGAGGAAAAUGUCUCAUUCAUUUUAUAAUUUUAUAAUAUUAUUAUUUAUUACAUCAUCCAGUUCGACCCCGAACCCCUCCUUCCGGUUCGUUGUCCAGUCCGGUUUUCAAAACCUUGAUAAAUCCCUCCUAAUCUUCAUCAGCUCCUCAUCGUGCACACUUUCUUCUUUUAUAGCCCCCCAAUCUACCAUCAAGGGUAUUGAAAUGGCCAUCUCCUAGAGCUCUCCCACACAUCUGGAUAAGGCAUCAAUCGCCUUAUUCUCCAAUCCUGGUCUGUACUAGAUCUCAAAAUCGUAUCCCAACAAUUUUGACAGCCACCUCUGAUGUUCAUUAGUCACCAUUCUCUACUCCAGCAAGUAUUUCAAGCUUCUCUGGUAUGUCCUGAUAAUGAAGUGCCGACCCAACAAGUAUGAAUGCCACUUCUGAAUGGCUGACACGAUGGCCAUCAAUUCCCUAUCAUAUACUGACUUUAACCUCGCUGUAGUUAGUUGUCAACACUUGACUGAAAUAGGCUAUGGGUUUAUGAUUCUGCAUGAGCACUGCCCCCAACCCAUGUGCUAAUGCAUCUGUCUCCACCACAAAGGUCUGACUGAAAUCUAGUAGAGCAAAACUGGUAUUGUAGUCAUAACAUUUUUCAAUCUCUCAAAAGCCAAUUAUCCUUCUUUAGCUGCUCUGUUAAGAGCCAGGCUAUAUUGCUAUACCCCCUCAAGAACCUUAUGUAAUAACCAGUCAAACCUAGAAAGUCCCUCAACUCUCUCAAGUUCCUAACUAGAGGCCACUUCUGCAUUGCUUCAAUUUUGGUUUGAUUGGCUGCCACCUCCUCCUGAGACACUAUGUGCCACAAGUAUUCUACACUCGUUUGUGCGAAGUUGCACUUUUUCAGGUUGACCCUUAGCUGAUCUCCUGUAGGACUCCUAAGACCACCCUCAAAUGCUCAAGAUGCUCCUUAGUUUUGUUAUACAAAAGUAUAUCAUUAAAUAAAACUAAUACAAACUUUCAGAGGUGUGGCUUGAACACCAAGUUCAUAAGAGACUAGAAAGUAACAGGAGCAUUAGUAAGGCCAAACGGACAUCACCAGGAACUAAUAAUGUCGUGUGUUCUGAAGGUUGUCUUCUGAAUAUCUUCCUCUCUCAUCCUGAUUUGAUGGUAACCCGACUUCAAGUCCAUCUUGGAGUACACCACUGCUCCAUACAUCUCAUUCAGUAGCUCAUUGAUCAUUGGAAUGGCAACCUAUCCAACACAGACUCCUUAUUCAAGGCCCUAUAGUCCACACAAAACCUCCAGCUAUCAUCCUUUUUCUUAACCAGUAAGACAAGGCUAGAGAAAGGGCUCACACUCAACUUGAUGAUCCCCACCUCUAACAUCUCCCGUAUCAACUUCUCAAUCACAUCCUUAUGAAUUUGAAGGCUGUGGUAUGGUCAUACACUAAUCGGUAACACCCCUUCAAAUUCAUUGCAUGCUCCCGCUCUCUGGGUGGUGGUAAGCCUUGAGGAGGAUAAAAAACCUCACUAAACUGUUGUAAGAGUGACUAUACUGAAAGAGGGAUGUCUCCCCCUUCCCCGAGUCUGACCCCUUCCAAGCUUUAUAGUUCCACCAAAAAUCGUCUUCCCACCUCCUGUAUGGUCCUGAUCAUGGAUUUGAGAGAUAUCCCGGCACUAGAGAGCCAUGCAUCUCCCUGAAUCAUCAUUCUUCUUCCCUCCACCACUAGUUCCAUCCUCAGUGCUCCCCAAUUAACCUUGGUAUCUCCCAAGAUCUGCAACCACUUGAUCCCCAAGAUGACAUCAGUGCUCCCCAACUUCAAUGAGAGAAAAUCCUCCCUCAACUAAACCCCCUGAAUAGUCAGCACUAUUCCCCUACACACUCCUCUACCCAUCUCUACCUUCCCAAUACCCAUCAUCACCCCUAUAACCCCAGUGUCCACCAAUUUCACCCUCAAGUGGUCCACGACUUGAUUGGAGAUAAAAUUGUGGGUAACCCCACUAUCGAUCAGCACCACCACCUCUAUGUUUGUUAUCGCCCCCUUCACUUUCAUGGUAAGAUUCAGGGUGAACCCCACCAUUGAGUUCAAGGAGACUUUUGCCAUGACCAGAUAUAGCUUCUCCUCCUCCUCUAUCCCUACCUCACUCUCACCUCCCUCCUCAGCUUCCUUAUCAUCACAGACAGUGAGAACCUGAAAAAUUCUAUCCUUACAUCUAUGCCCCAGAGUGUACCUCUAAUUACACUUGAAGCACAAACUCUUUGCCCUCUUCCCCUUCAACUCCUCUAUCAGCUUCUUGAAAAUCCCCCCAAAUCCCCCUCCUCUAGGCUUCUCCUUUGGGGCCUCCCGCAUGCUUCCUGCUGCUGAUCCCUUGGAAGCUAAGAAAGUGGUGGUCAUUCUGUACGAUCCCCCUGAGCUGCUACCCUUGAAUCCUCUCUCCAAAUACUUAUGGUCCUCCACCAACUGCGCCAAUUCCAUGGCCUCUCUUAAGUCACGCGGCCUCAUCACUCUAAUAGUCUCUCGAAUCUCGGGCUUGAGCCCCUUCAUAAAAUUCCCCUCCAGCACAAUCUCGGAAAGUCGAUCCAUCCGACUAGCUAAGUACUCAAAUAUGUCGUGAUACUCUACUACAUAACCCUCCUGCGUCAAGGCGCUUCGUAGAAGUCUCCUGCCCUACCGGUUCGGAAACGUUCUAGUAAGCAAUCCUUGAACUCCCUCUAGUUCCGAAUAGGUUACCUCAUGUCCCUCAAAUGGUACCACACCAAUGUCUUUCCCUCCAAGCAUAGACCUGCCGCCGUCAAUUUCUCCUCCUCUGUCAACUCAUUGAUGGUGAAAUACCUUUCUACCCUAUAGAUCCACCCAUGCGCAUCCUCCCCUUAAAAAAUCGGCAUCUUCAAUUUUUGAACCUUAGGAUCCCCCCAUUUCCUCUGAUUCCUCCAUAAUUUCCCCUUCCCCAAGUGGAUGGCCCUUCCCAACUCCCUCGCCCAAUCAUACCCAAAUCUUUCUUCGAAUUCCACUAUCCUUCCUUCAAAAUCAGCAACUUAGCGGCCAUAAUAUCCCUCCCUUCGUUCCCAAUCACCACCCCUUUGCUCCUACCCCUCAUAUCCACGCCUCUCCCCAUACCUACCUCCUCUAUCCUUCCUCUGGAAAGGCUCUAGAUGGGGUCUUCUCCUUUCUCCCUCCACGAUCUCCACCACAUUUUCAUCCUUCUUAAUUUCAAAAUUCGUAUUUUUUCCUUCUGGCCCUCUCGCCUAUGAUAUCGUCAUUUGGUUGUGAAGAUCUAACAUCUUCUCCAUCAUGUCUCAUAAGUCAACAACUUGCUCUUCCAUGGAGAAAGUUUUGCCCUCCACCGUUGCCUUGAUUUGGUUCAUCUCCCCCUCAAGGCGUUCCUUCAAUGCAUCCACCGUCUUGGCCUCCAUUGAUACAUUGAUUUUUUGUGAGACUCAAAAUCCAGGAUUUCUUCCCCAAAAACAGCCACAUAAUGGUUCGGACAAGAAAACUUCUGCAGGAAACUGCCAAAACCGCCCCAAAACAGCCCCGGAAAGCGGCUAUGAUAUCAAUUUGAUAGGAAAAAAUAGAAAAUAGCGAACAUUACUGCAGAAAUCAGCAAAACCAACAAGCUUCCAAGCAGUUUUUGAGAGAAAAUCAGAGAAAUAAUAGAGAGAAAACAUUCAAUUUAAUAGUAGAGGAAAGAAAAUAGCAAUAUACAGUUGGAUCUUCAAUUGAAUAGGAAGAUCUUGCUUCUGCUCUCCCAAUCUCUAAUCGGAAGCCCAAGCAAAGCCACAAGAACACCAAAUUCUGCAAAAUACAUCAUAACCCUAAUCCUAGAACAGAAAAUACUACUUAAAGCAAAAGCAAACAACAAUUCAGCUCCAAGAAUUUGAAUUUUUCCUCUUAAAUCUUUCUCAAUUGAAGUCAUAAUAUCAUAAGAGGGCUAGGGCCCACACCCUA